rnacentral:misc_RNA from 1 species
CAGAACCAAGAGAUCCGUUGUUAAAAGUUUUAAUUUAUUAAUUAAGUUUACUCAGACUGCAAAGUUACGCAAGAGUUUGAAGUGUCCACCCGGAGCCCCCGCCCGAAGGCAGGGUCGCCCCGGAGGCAACAGAGUCGGACAACAAAGGGUUAUGAAUAACCAGGCCGAAGCCCGGGCGUUCUUGUAAUGAUCCCU